GCGGACGUAUGCUAAUCGGAAAACUCUUGGACGUCCGGAAAACGAGCUUUUGGAAUGCAGGUUCGACUCCUGCCGUCCGCCA
rnacentral:tRNA from 1 species